AGUGAACGCUGGCGGCGUGCCUAAUACAUGCAAGUCGAACGGAGUGGCGCACGGGUGAGUAAUGUAUAGCUAAUCUGCCCUACACUGGAGGACAACAGUUGGUAACGACUGCUAAUACUCUAUAGUGUCGGUUGAGGCUAUAUUGUAUCAGCUAGUUGGUGAGGUAAUGGCGAACUAAGGCUAUGACGCAUAACUGGUCUGAGAGGAUGAGGAGUAACACUGGAAGUGAGACAGGGUCCAGACUCCUACGGGAGGGGGCAGUAGGGAAUAUUGCUCAAUGGGGGAGACCCAGAAGCAGCAACGCCGCGUGGAAGAUUACUCUUAUAGGAGCAUAAAGUCCUUUGGUUCGGGAAGCGGUACCUAACCAGUAAGCAACGGCUAACUCCGUGCCAGCAGCCGCGGUAAUUC
rnacentral:rRNA from 1 species